rnacentral:lncRNA from 1 species
AUACUCCACUCUCAAAUCCCGAAAUCACCUCUCUCUCACGAACCUCACUCACACACUGCAUUCCUCCCUCUCUCUUCUCCCGCAGACUUUUCCUCAUACCUCCCUUAAUACUCACACAGAAUCCUCUCUCCUACACGGACCUCACUCACACACCACGUUCCUUCCUCUCUCUCCUCCCCUAGUCCCCUCCAUAAACCUCCAUUCGUGCUCACACAAAUCUCCUCCCUCUUACAAACCUCACUCACACGCCGUACACCUUCCUUUCGCUCCUUCCGCGACCUCCUCCAUAAGCCUCCAUUCACACUCACACACGAUCUCCUUCCUCUCACGAACCUCACUCCCAUACCGCACUCCUUCUUUUCUCUUCUCUCGUGGCCUAGCCUCCUCCAUAUUCCCCGCUCAUACUCUCCCUCAUGGACCUCCCUCACGCGCCACAUUUUUUCUUCUUUCUCCUUCCCUGGCCUCCUCCACACACCUCCACUCUUACUCACACAAAAUCCUCCACCUAUGGUCAAAAUUUUAAACUACAUCAACCAACACAUAAAACUUAGAGUUUACUGUACCUCCCGUCCCCAUUUUUCUCUUUCCCUCGGCUUGCUCUGUCACCGUCCUCUAUCUCUUCCUCUUUAUCUCUUAUCGCUCCUCUUUGCCUCCCGUCUCUAUUUUCCUCCAUCCUUUGGCUUGCUCUGUCACCGUCCUCUGUCUCCUCCUCUCUCUCUCUUCUCGCUCCUCUCCGCUUCGACUCUUCUCUCUCUCUCUCGAACCUUCUCUUUCCCCCGAUCUCUCUUCUCUCUUU